rnacentral:rRNA from 1 species
GUGGGGUCGGAGUGCUUGCCUUUGCUGACGAGCGGCGGACGGGUGCGUAACACGUAGGAAUCUGCCUGGUAGUGGGGGAUAGCCCGGAGAAAUCCGGAUUAAUACCGCAUACGCCCUAAGGGGGAAAGGAGGGGACUCUUCGGAGCCUUUCGCUAUCAGAUGAGCCUGCGUCGGAUUAGCUGGUUGGUGGGGUAAAGGCCUACCAAGGCGACGAUCCGUAGCUGGUCUGAGAGGAUGAUCAGCCACACUGGGACUGAGACACGGCCCAGACUCCUACGGGAGGCAGCAGUGGGGAAUAUUGCACAAUGGGCGAAAGCCUGAUGCAGCCAUGCCGCGUGUGUGAAGAAGGCCCUAGGGUUGUAAAGCACUUUCAGCGAGGAGGAAAGGUUAAAGGUUAAUACCCUUUGGCUGUGACGUUACUCGCAGAAGAAGCACCGGCUAACUCCGUGCCAGCAGCCGCGGUAAUACGGAGGGUGCGAGCGUUAAUCGGAAUUACUGGGCGUAAAGCGUGCGUAGGCGGCCUUUUAAGUUGGAUGUGAAAGCCCCGGGCUCAACCCGGGAACUGCAUCCAAAACUGGAAGGCUCGAGUGCGGGAGAGGAGUGUGGAAUUUCCUGUGUAGCGGUGAAAUGCGUAGAUAUAGGAAGGAACA